AAGUAAAAGUCGUAACAAGGUUUCCGUAGGUGAACCUGCGGAAGGAUCAUUAUUGAAAUAAAUCUGAUGAGUUGCUGCUGGUUCUUUAGGGAGCAUGUGCACACUCGUCGUCUUCAUAUCUCCACCUGUGCACUUUUUGUAGACCUGGAUAUCUCUCUGAAUGCUAGUCACUCAGGUUUGGGGAUUGACUUCAUCAUGUCUCUCCUUACACUUCCGGGCCUAUGUUUAUUCAUAUACUCCGUCGUACAAUGUAACCAAAUGGCCUUUAUGCCUAUAAAUCUAUACAACUUUCAGCAACGGAUCUCUUGGCUCUCGCAUCGAUGAAGAACGCAGCGAAAUGCGAUAAGUAAUGUGAAUUGCAGAAUUCAGUGAAUCAUCGAAUCUUUGAACGCACCUUGCGCUCCUUGGUAUUCCGAGGAGCAUGCCUGUUUGAGUGUCAUUAUAAUAUCGAUCUCUUCAGCUUUUGUUUGUUGAGUAUUGGAUGUGGAGGUCUUUUGCUGGCCUUCCCAGGUCAGCUCCUCUGAAAUAUAUUAGCUGAGCAAUUGUGGAUCGCUCAUUGGUGUGAUAACUAUCUACGCUAUCGACGUGAAACAGCUUAGCUUCUAACAGUCCAAUUGAUGUGGACUCAUUCUUCAUUAAUGUGACCUCAAAUCAGGUAGGACUACCCGCUGAACUUAAGCAUAUCAAUAAGCGGAGGAAAGGAAACUAACAAGGAUUCCCCUAGUAACUGCGAGUGAAGCGGGAAAAGCUCAAAUUUAAAAUCUGUCAGUUUUUGACUGUCCGAGUUGUAAUCUAGAGAAGUGUUAUCUGCGCUGGACCGUGUACAAGUCUCCUGGAAUGGAGCGUCAUAGAGGGUGAGAAUCCCGUCUUUGACACGGACUGCCAGGGCUUUGUGAUACGCUCUCAAAGAGUCGAGUUGUUUGGGAAUGCAGCUCAAAAUGGGUGGUAAAUUCCAUCUAAAGCUAAAUAUUGGCGAGAGACCGAUAGUGAACAAGUACCGUGAGGGAAAGAUGAAAAGAACUUUGGAAAGAGAGUUAAACAGUACGUGAAAUUGCUGAAAGGGAAACGCUUGAAGUCAGUCGCGUUGUCCAGGGAUCAACCUUGCUGUUGCUUGGUGUACUCUCUGGUUGGACGGGUCAGCAUCAAUUUUGACUGUUGGAAAAAGGUCAAGGGAAUGUGGCAUCUUCGGAUGUGUUAUAGCCCAUGGUUGUAUACAAUGGUUGGGAUU
rnacentral:rRNA from 1 species